UACGUAGGGCGCAAGCGUUGUCCGGAAUUAUUGGGCGUAAAGAGCUCGUAGGCGGCCUGUUGCGUCCGCUGUGAAAUCCCGGGGCUCAACCCCGGGCGUGCAGUGGAUACGGGCUGGCUGGAGGCAGGCAGGGGAGAACGGAAUUCCUGGUGUAGCGGUGAAAUGCGCAGAUAUCAGGAGGAACACCGGUGGCGAAGGCGGUUCUCUGGGCCUGUACUGACGCUGGAGGAGCGAAGGCGUGGGGAGCGAACAGG
rnacentral:rRNA from 1 species